rnacentral:rRNA from 1 species
CCCUUAGAUGUUCUGGGCCGCACGCGUGCUACACUGAGUGGAUCAGCGGGUCAGGUUGCGCGAAAGCGUUUCCUAAUCUUUAAAUCCGCUCGUGAUGGGGAUUGACGGUUGCAAUUUUCUGUCAUGAACGAGGAAUACCUUGUAAGCGCGGGUCAUCAUCCCGCGCUGAAUACGUCCCUGCCCUUUGUACACACCGCCCGUCGCUCCUACCGAUUGAGUGGUCCGGUGAGGCUUUGGGAUCUGAGCGGAAGGAGCGUCUCGCUGUUUCUGCUCGGAAAACUCAGUCGAACCUUAUCAUUUAGAGGAAGGAGAAGUCGUAACA